rnacentral:rRNA from 1 species
CAUGCACGUCGAGGGGCAGCACGGGGUAGCAAUACUCUGGUGGCGACCGGCGCACGGGUGAGUAACGCGUAUGCAACCUACCUUUAACAGGAAGAUAGCCCCGAGAAAUCGGGAUUAAUACUCCAUAAUGAUUAAGAAUCGCAUGGUUUUUAAUUUAAAGUUCCGACGGUUAAAGAUGGGCAUGCGUGACAUUAGUUAGUUGGUGAGGUAACGGCUCACCAAGACCACGAUGUCUAGGGGUUCUGAGAGGAUUAUCCCCCACACUGGUACUGAGACAGGNACCANACUNNUACGGGAGGCAGCAGUGAGGAAUAUUGGUCAAUGGUCGCAAGACUGAACCAGCCAUGCCGCGUGCAGGAUGAAUGUUCUAUGAAUUGUAAACUGCUUUUCUAAGGGAAGAAACCUAUCUACGUGUAGGUAGUUGCCGGUACCUUGGGAAUAAGCAUCGGCUAACUCCGUGCCAGCAGCCGCGGUAAUACGGAGGAUGCAAGCGUUAUCCGGAUUUAUUGGGUUUAAAGGGUGCGUAGGCGGACUAAUAAGUCAGUGGUGAAAUCUUGCGGCUCACCGUAAUAUUGCCAUUGAUACUGUUAGUCUUGAAUGCAGUUGANGUAGGCGGANUGUGUAAUGUAGCGGUGAAAUGCUUAGAUAUUACACAGAACACCGAUUGCGAAGGCAGCUUGCUAAACUGUGAUUGACGCUGAUGCNCGAAAGCGUGGGGAUCAAACAGGAU